GGAUGGUAGCUGCCCUUCUCAGGUCACCAGAGUCUACACUCUGGCCUCCUUAAUCCCGAGGGAAAAUGUCAAUUGACAUUUAUCAUUUAGCUUGAGCAGCUGUUUUUCCUCUAGCACAGACAUUUUAGUCCCUACCCACAUGUUUACUCCAAAGUGGGCAAACAAAGAGACAGCCAGAGCCUUGUUUUUCUCACCCCCCAAGUGCUGUGACGGCGUUUGCAUUUCCUGCUUUGCUCAGGCCGGCGGCUGAGUUUGCAAACUUUGCUAUUGACAAAGACUCUGGUCUCCCUCCCUGCCUUCUCUCCCCCUCACCUCUUUCUCCAUUGUACCCUCUCCUCCCACCUUCGGUUCACUUGAAGACUAGUGUUUAUGGCAUUGCUGUGAGGCUGAAUAACUUCAGGACCACUGAAUCCUCAAUCUUCAGAAAAGAUUCAACCAACUGUGAAUCCCGUGCUAUGUUUACCAUCAGAGGUUGGUGAAGCUGCAGAUGUGGAACCACUGGAUACAGAGAGCUGACUAUGGAACUUGAGCAUCAUCAGAUUUUGUAUCUGCUGUGGGUCCUGGAACCAAUCCCCUAAGGCUACCAAGGGAUGGAACAAGAUUAAAGGUCAACCCAGGAAGAAAAUAAUAUAGUUGGCUUCCUCCCUCAUCCAAUUCCAUGUUUUCAUUUCCCACAUUAAACAUUUUUGACAUUUAUAUUCACAUGGAAUUGAUUUUGAGAAUAAAGAGACCAUUCUAAUCAUACUGUAUUCCAAAUGGUUAGAACCAAUAUACCAUUUAUGUAAUAAAGCUUUCUAUUUCCACUAGUUUGAAAUUCGUAUUAUACCAUAUACCUCUUGACCUAAAACAAAUAGGCUGCCAGUUAUUUCUCCAGCAAAAGUAGUUUACUCAGAUCAGCAAAUAAUUGCAAUUUGGAGUUUAUAACCAUGGCAAGUGCAAGUCUCUGUGCAGAAAGGAGAGGAAAACUCUUUUAAAGAGGGGAGAAGGAAAUUGGGAUGGCUAUAGUAAACAGAGACUCCAUUGGAGGAAUUGAGAUCUCAAGUAUAGGGGCUCUUCCUUGGCUGAGUUGUGACAGUCUCUCAUUGGCUGAACUCUUACCAGGCAAGAAAAGGAAGUCUUUCUUCUUCCUGUUUGGCUCUGCUGUUGUCAUGGGGCAUGAGAGCUCCCUCUUCUGGCUUCUGGACUCUUAGUUGAAGUUUCCAUUUAUUAAUUUUUUUUUUUUUUAAGGGCCAAACCUGCCGAAUAUGGAGGU